UCAUGAUGGAUUUCUUAAUGGACCUAUUUCCCUUCAGGACUGCACAUGAUGCUGGUGAUGGACAAUGUUCUCACCAAUGUUGACAUCCACAAGACUGGACACCAGCUCUCAGCAUUCUGUUCACCAAAGAGGAAUUCAACUUAAACAUGAAUCCUUUCUGGGAGAAGAGAUGAUUCAGAACUAAAGGAAUAUGGAAUAAACAAUGAGAUUAUCAGUUACAAGACUUCAUCAAAGAGACCUACUUGGCACAGGGUCCAGCAGAACAACUCUGAAGCACAUAGCCUAUGAGCUUAUCCUACAUUUCUCUAUGCAGCUCACCAUAUAUUCUGUAUCACAACAUGUAUCUUCAACAUGUAUCUCUGUUGAUGCAACAUGACCACAGGCAUUAACCUCACCAGCAGGCACUAACAAUAAAAUGUGUCAGCAAUAAAAACAAGAUUAUUCCAAGGU